UACGUAGGUGGCGAGCGUUGUCCGGAAUUAUUGGGCGUAAAGCGCGCGCAGGUGGGAUCUUAAGUCCAUUUUCAAAGUGCGGAGCUCAACUCCGUGAUGGGAUGGAAACUGGGAUUCUUGAGUACCGGAGAGGAAAGCGGAAUUCCCCGUGUAGCGGUGAAAUGCGUAGAUAUGGGGAGGAACACCAGUGGCGAAGGCGGCUUUCUGGACGGUGUCUGACACUGAGGCGCGAAAGCCAGGGGAGC
rnacentral:rRNA from 1 species